rnacentral:rRNA from 1 species
AUGAACGCUGGCGGCGUGCCUAAUACAUGCAAGUCGAGCGAACGGACGAGAAGCUUGCUUCUCUGAUGUUAGCGGCGGACGGGUGAGUAACACGUGGAUAACCUACCUAUAAGACUGGGAUAACUUCGGGAAACCGGAGCUAAUACCGGAUAAUAUUUUGAACCGCAUGGUUCAAAAGUGAAAGACGGUCUUGCUGUCACUUAUAGAUGGAUCCGCGCUGCAUUAGCUAGUUGGUAAGGUAACGGCUUACCAAGGCAACGAUGCAUAGCCGACCUGAGAGGGUGAUCGGCCACACUGGAACUGAGACACGGUCCAGACUCCUACGGGAGGCAGCAGUAGGGAAUCUUCCGCAAUGGGCGAAAGCCUGACGGAGCAACGCCGCAUGAGUGAUGAAGGUCUUCGGAUCGUAAAACUCUGUUAUUAGGGAAGAACAUAUGUGUAAGUAACUGUGCACAUCUUGACGGUACCUAAUCAGAAAGCCACGGCUAACUACGUG